AGUUAAAAAUGGUGGAUUAGUGAAGACCUUAACAGAGGAAGAGUUUCCUUUUAUUGGGGAUGUUGGAUUAAGUGUGAUUAGAGUGAAGCUUGAACCUAAUGCUGUUAAGGCACCUUCAUACCUUCUCAACCCUGCUGUUCAAUUGAUUUACAUUGCUAGAGGAAGUGGCAAGAUUGAAAUUGUGGGCUUGAAUGGAAAGCUUGCAUUGGACAGUCAUGUUGAGGCUGGUCAUUUGCUUCUUGUGCCUAAGUUCUUUGUGGUUGCUCAAAUUGCAGGGGAAGAAGGAAUGGAGAGUUACACUAUGGUAACAACUAAAAAGUAAGUCUUGUUUGGAUUCAACAGCAUGUUUGAUAUACUUUUAAUUCAUUUUAGAAUAUUUUUGCUAGUUUCCAAAAUCACUAAUUUCCCAAACUUGGAAACAUAGCAAGUUUUUUGGAUCGGUGUUGUCAGAACAUGGUUGAUUUUGGAUAAAAUUGAAUAUAGUAACGCUAAGUUAAAAGCGAAGUUAUUUAUAUUUAAAUAUAAUUUAUGAAAAAAAUAAUUUUUGUAGAGUAAUGUUAAUUGUGAAAUCAAGUUAUAAAUGUUUCAGUGCAAAAUUUACUCUAUGUAACUUCUAACAUAAUUAAUAUGAAAUUUAAAUUAGUUCUCCAAAAUGAGUCUUAAACAUUUAUUUGUCAUUCAAAAUUAAUUUUACUUAAUCUGAGAUUUUUCAGCUGUGAACCAAACACACAUUUAGCAUAUGCAGUAUACAUCUACAUACAUUUCCUAUUAUGGUGUUAAUCCAUUUGAGAAUCCAUAAAGUAUCAAAUAAGAUGAAAUGAAAUAAAGAUGGUUGAUUAUACUCUCAAAGUAUGACAUGUAUAUUAGGCUGAGUGUGGAUGAAAAUAAUUGUAUGUAUAUUUAUCUGCAGGCCUUUGUUUGAAGAGUUCUCUGGUAAGACAUCAGUUUGGGGCUCCUUAUCACCUGAAGUGCAAGAAGUGUCUCUUAAAGUGGAUUCAGAAUUUCAAAAGCUUUUCAUAUCCAAGGUCAAGAAAGCCUCAAGUAUCAUCCCCCCUUCCUCUUGAAUGGUGCACUCCUGUAUCAUUAAAAAUAAUGUAUUAAAAACAGUAUUGGCUUGUUCCUGGGUCAAAUUAAACAUUUUAGCUUGUGGUUGUGAUAGUUGUAUGAGUAUCUCUAGGUUUGGUUGCUAUCUUGGUGUUAUGCCACGAUAUACAAGCCCAACUCCUUAAGGCUACCCCACAUGCAUGUGGGGGAUGGCUCACUUCCAAUGUGAGAAAGUGUUGUGCCAAAAAAAAGCUGGCUACCUUUUUCCCACCAAAACGUUUGUACCUUUUAAUUCUAGGCUUAAUUGCACUUUUGGUCCCCCAACUAUGACCUUCCUGCAAAAAUCGUCCCUAAACUUCAAAAUUAACAAAACUCGUCCCUCAACUAUACACACAGUUGCACUUUUGGUCUUCCGUUAGCAUUCCGUCAGAAAUCUAACAGAUUGCUGAUGUGGUAUUAUUUAAUAAUAUUUUAAUUGAAAAAUAUUAAUAAUAUAAUUAAGGCUUAAUUGCACUUUUGGUCCCCCACGAAAGCGAUAUGUGUCAUUAGAGUCCCUAAACUUUAAAAAUCCCAUUUUGCCUCCCUGACGUUAACCCCCGUUAGCACUUUUGGUCCCUCCUCACUUUUCCAUCCAAAAACUAACGUUUUCUGGAUUUUUCCAGAAAAAUUCAUCCACUUCUUCAUCUUCUUCAUACAUCCUUCAAUCAUCUUCAUCAUACUCUUCAUCUUCUUCAUUUUUUUUCCAGAAAAUCUAAGUUCUUCAAAACCAAAAACUCUACAACCUUCAUUCUUUCUUCAUCUUCCCAAAUUCAUCAUCUCCAAGCUUCACUAAGAAUACCAUAACCCCCAUAGGUCUUCUCCAGAAAAUCCAAGUUCUUCAAACUCAAAAAUAUCAAACCUCAAUUUUUUUCCAAAUUUUUUCAUCUUCUUCCUCUAUCUUCAAAAUCUUCAUCAUACACUUAGCAAACAACCACCACAAAAAUCCUCAAACCAUCAAUAACUGACACAUUGAAUCUGUUAUACCUUAAAAAAAUAAAAUAUGUGCUCGUUAAUUAUAGUCCAGGAAACUUUGGACCAAGUUAAUUGAUUAUUUGCAACUUUGCAACCACAAAUCAAUGACCCCACGACCCAUGAUUAAUUUCUCUCAUUCUCUGUCAAUCUUGUAGCACAAUUUUUGAAUGGCAAGCCAAGGCCGAGACACUUAGAAUUGGUUACCUUUGCUGAUAAACCCAAUUAAAUGUUGAUUAAAGCAAAUUGGAAAUUCAAAGGACGACUCAAAAACCCUUCUCUGCCAGUUUCCAAAGCAUGUCCUGUAUCUACACCACAGUUUCCAGAACCUUCUCCCUCCCAUGCUCAGAUCUGUGACUUCUCCACCAUCCUCAGAUCUGCGAGACCUAUAACCCACUAUCAUGAUCUGCGACUUCUCCACCAUCCUCGUUAGAAAUAUAGUGUUUGAAUUAAUCUGAUUUUGAAUAAAAUUGUGUUUAAGUACACGUGAUUUAUAUCUUGAUGAUUUGUAACUAAUGUGAUUUAAAAAAAAUGAUUAUGGUUUGGAUGAUAUUGAUUAAGCUCACUUUAAAAAUAAUCUAUCUUUAUUCAAAAACAUUAAAAAUACAAUAUCCUACCUACAACAGUACAACACACAUCCACAACCUCAAAAAUCACCAACCUUCAUUACGCACUUGGCACUCACCAGAGUCACAACCAACCCUCAUUCUCCUUCUCUCUUGGUCAUAAAUGUGAGCUACAAGAGCAAAGCUAAGAAUUUCACCAUGUUCAUAGACGAAGGAUCUCCCCACAUUGCUGAGUUCUUCUUUGCUCUGUUUUUUUUAGUCUCUUGAUUCACUAAAAAAGGAAGAAGGCGUGGAAGAAGGUGGUUUGUGCAAAGUCUUUAUAGUAUCUACUUCCACCUAGAUCACAGGUAUGUUCAAGAUUGGUUUCUAUGUAUUUAUGGUUUUUCUAAUCUUGUAUAUCAAAGAUCAAGAGUUGCUUAUGUACUAUGAGUGCAGAAUUUUCAUUUGUCCAUCAGCUGAAUUAGAUAGCCUGAGCUUUUGAGAUGCACUGAAUAUGAAAGAUCUAACUUUUAAGAUGUGCUUCAACUGAAAAUAAAUAACAAAUCUAUAAAAACAGAAAGAAAAAAAUUAUCAACGAAUCUAUAAGAGUUACUUCAUUCAAAAAAAAUUACAAAUAUAAUUGGAGCACUAACUAAUUUAUUUGAAAUAAUGCCUAUGAUGAUGAGCAAAUUAAAGGGGAAAAAAAAAAUCAAUGGAGAUGGACUUAACACCAAAGACAGCACAACCAUUCAUUGAAGCAGAUGGUGGUAGUUACUACACAUGGACAAGUUCUCAAGUUCCACUUCUGGCUAAGACCAAUGUGGGUGCUGGUCGCUUUGUGCUUCAGCCUAGGGGCCUUGCUCUUCCUCAUUAUGCAGAUAUCUCCAAAAUUGGUUAUAUCGUUGAAGGUCAGAGCCUUAUCAUUUCUAGUUAGUUUUUUUUUUUUUUUUCUGUACAUUAACUUCUAGCAUGUUAACUCAUUGUUUUUCUUAAGAAUCAAUUCUGACAUACAAAAUUUAAAAUUUAGAUUUACUUCAUUUUCAGUCAAAUUUUGCACUUUUGAAAAGCGAUUUUUUUUAUGUGUUACUAAAGUUCAAGUUUCGGAGUGUAUUUAUAUUUUUGAAAGUGAAUCUAACACAAUUUGUUUUCCCAAAACUUCUGAAAGUACGAAACUUAAUUGCAGUAGCUGCAGGAACCAACUACUGCAAUGAAUCUAGAUCACAGAAACUGCUCACAAUUUUUUUUGUUCUCAUAAUUAAUUUUGGCUUUAGGAUAAUUGUGCGAGGAUUUUCAAACAUGUUAUUAGUAAUAUGUUUGGUUGUGAGAAGAGAUAAUGCGAGGAGAAUAUAUGAUGACAUUAUUGACAUGUAAAGUAGUGAGAAACAAUGGUAAUUGAUCUUUAGCCCGUUUGGUUUCCUGUUUGCGUAUCACCUAAGAUAUAAGAUUCUACCAUGAUGAUACAAACAUGGAUGGAUGUUGAGUUCAACACAAAUCCAAACAUACAUUUACAUGUUCAAUCAUUUAAUGAACUCACUGAUGUAUAAUUGUAUUAAUUCUCUGAUAACUUUGCUAAUUACUGAGUCAAACUUCCUUAAUUGCAUAACAAACAUGCAGGAACUGAUGGCGUAGUUGGGAUGAUACUUCCCAACACAGGAAAAGAGGUGGUUUUGAAGCUCAAGCAGGGAGAUGUGAUACCAGUACCUCUUGGAGCAAUUUCAUGGUGGUUCAAUGAUGGAGACUCAGAUCUCAUCAUUACUUUUCUUGGGGACACUUCAAACGCUCAUGUUCCUGGCGAUUUCUCCUAUUUCUUUCUAUCUGGAGUUCAAGGAAUUCUAGGAGCUUUCUCCACAGAGCUAACAAGCAAAGCGUAUCACUUGAACAAUGAUGAUGAGGUGAGCAAGUUAACCAAAAGCCAAAAUGAGGUUGUGAUAAUCAAGCUAGAUAAAAACCAACCCAUGCCAAAACCCCAAAUUAACCUCACCAAAGAGCUAGUCUAUGACAUAGAUGUUGCAACCCCUGAAGUUGAAGUUAAAAAUGGUGGAUUAGUUAAAACUUUAACAGAGGAAGAGUUUCCUUUUAUUGGUGAUGUUGGGUUAAGUGUGAUUAGAGUGAAGCUUGAACCUAAUGCUGUUAAGGCACCUUCAUACCUUGCAAACCCUGCUGUUCAAUUGAUGUACAUUGCUAGAGGAAGUGGCAAGAUUGAAAUUGUGGGCUUGAAUGGAAAGCUUGCAUUGGACAGUCAUGUUGAGGCUGGUCAUUUGCUUCUUGUGCCUAAGUUCUUUGUGGUUGCUCAAAU
rnacentral:lncRNA from 1 species